rnacentral:rRNA from 1 species
AACGAACGCUGGCGGCAUGCCUAACACAUGCAAGUCGAACGAGAACUUCGGGACUAUUGGCGCUUGGCUGAGUAACGCGUGGGAAGUUGCCCAUAGGUUCGGAAUAACUUCCUGAAGGGGGUGCAAAUAUCGAAUCGGGUCUUCAGACCAAAGAUUUAUCGCAUAUGGAUGGGGGGGAGUUGGAUUCGCUGGUUGGUAGGGUAAUAGCCUAUGAAGGCGACGAUCACUAGCUGGUCUGAGAGGAUGAGCAGCCACACCGGGACUGGGACGCAGCCCAGACUCCUACGCAAUGGGGCAGAGGGGGAUGUUGGACAAUGGGCUGAAGCAUGAAGCAGCUAGGCCGGGAAAGUGAUGUAGGCGGUAGGGAAGUAAAGCUCUUUUACCCGGGAGGAUAUUGACGGUACCGGGAGAAUAAGCUCCGGCUAACUCCGUG